UACGUAGGGGGCAAGCGUUGUCCGGAAUCAUUGGGCGUAAAGAGCGUGUAGGCGGCCCGAUAAGUCCGCUGUGAAAGUCCAGGGCUCAACCCUGGGAUGCCGGUGGAUACUGUCGGGCUCGAGUCCGGAAGAGGCGGGUGGAAUUCCUGGUGUAGCGGUGAAAUGCGCAGAUAUCAGGAGGAACACCGGUGGCGAAGGCGGCGACCUGGUUCGAUACUGACACUGAGGUGCGAAAGCGUGGGGAGCAAACAGG
rnacentral:rRNA from 1 species